AGUGAACGCUGGCGGUAGGCCUAACACAUGCAAGUCGAACGGCAGCACAGUAAGAGCUUGCUCUUACGGGUGGCGAGUGGCGGACGGGUGAGGAAUACGUCGGAAUCUACUUUUUCGUGGGGGAUAACGUAGGGAAACUUACGCUAAUACCGCAUACGACCUACGGGUGAAAGCAGGGGAUCUUCGGACCUUGCGCGAUUGAAUGAGCCGAUGUCGGAUUAGCUAGUUGGCGGGGUAAAGGCCCACCAAGGCGACGAUCCGUAGCUGGUCUGAGAGGAUGAUCAGCCACACUGGAACUGAGACACGGUCCAGACUCCUACGGGAGGCAGCAGUGGGGAAUAUUGGACAAUGGGCGCAAGCCUGAUCCAGCCAUACUGCGUGGGUGAAGAAGGCCUUCGGGUUGUAAAGCCCUUUUGUUGGGAAAGAAAAGCAGCAGGUUAAUACCCCGCUGUUCUGACGGUACCCAAAGAAUAAGCACCGGCUAACUUCGUG
rnacentral:rRNA from 1 species